rnacentral:tRNA from 1 species
CGGAGCGUGGCGCAGUCCGGCAGCGCACUGCAAUGGGGUUGCAGGGGUCGCGAGUUCAAAUCUCGCCGCUCCGA